AAAAAAAAGAGUGGCCACAAUAGUUUUUCUUAUUAAUGUAAUAAAUCACCAAAAGUGAAUACUAUUUGGUAAACAAAGAGUCCCUAUUGUGGAUUUGACCAUGAAAACAGACUGUGGCAUGAGCAGUAAUUGGUAGGAACGUGUUUCACACUGAAGUGGUUCCGUCAGGGUUGCAGUAAAGGGACGAACUUCAGCCUAACCCUCAGAUGCAACUUAGACAGCAAACUGAAAGUGGUGUGCUCUCAUUGCUGCUCCACUUUACCUAUUCCACAGGGCCAAAGACCUGGAUUGCGUCACCAUUGAGGGCCAGUGGAGUUCAGUUCCAGGCCUGGUUGACGUAGCUCAUCCUCUGGUGGAGGCGAAGUUCGCGUACACUUCAGGAUUUGCUACUUUCGUCAUUUUUGUUGCUGUGGCCCACCAGUGGGGCCCGUAACAGUAACAGAUUGCCAUCUAAUAACAGAAUUUUACACCAAGACAAAAAGAGGGUGCAAAAAAGGGACAGAAAACUCAUUUCCACAACUAAGAGGGUGUGGCACGCGGCUGGGGUGGUACCCAGCCGGGACGCCCAAGAGGACCGGAGGAGGGCUUGCGCCUCCUCCAGACCACGAGGGGGCGACCACCCUGGUUGCUUUGGGGACCACGGGUACAGAGCUGGGAAGCUCAACCCUGUAGGGGCCAGUGGUCACCGCCAGGGGGUGCCCAGAUACCUUGGGAGCCCUGGACCUCAGCACUUCCGCCACACCCGGAAGUGCUGGGGGAAAGAAAAGCAGGGACACCCGGAAUGCUUCUGGGGAUGCAGCCGGCACUUCCACCACACUGGGGCGUGUCGGUGGAAGACUGCCGGACCACACCUGGAGCACAUCUGGGAGAAAUAUAAAGGGGCCGCCUCCCUUCAUUCAGGGCUGGAGUCGGGAGGUCGAGAGACGAGGUCUGGAGAAGAGACAAGGAGGCGGCCUGAAGAAGAGGCAUAGUGUGGUGUUGGCCUGGACUUUGGGGGAGUCUGUGGUUUGUGUGUGCACUUAUUGACUGUAAAUAUUAACUGUAAAUAAA